GGCCGCUUGGCCCAAUGGUAAGGCGUCUGACUACGAUCGAACAUAUACGUAAAACAUGAUCGAAAGCAAUCAGGAGAUUCUGGGUUCGAGCCCCAGGGUGGUCA